AGUCACAUCUUGUCAAGAUGUGGUGUUUUACAGCACUCCAGUUGUGAGUCACGGUUUUAAACGAUAAUUAAAAGUAAAAUGAGAGGCAUAAAGGCCACAGAUGUUUUGCAAUGCCGAUUUUAAUAGUAUUCUCCUGUCAGGUCACACUGUUUUAACAUGAAUGUCAAAAAGUGUAUUUUCUAAACUGCAAACUUGCCCAAACUUUUGAAAAAGAUUUAAUAAGAAAACAAAAACUGCACACAAACACAAGUGAACACAAAUUCUAAAAAUGUUUAAUCCAGCAUACAAUAUCAGUCUCUAGUGUUGUUUUUUUUUUCAAGCAUUUUAAAAUGUUUAAAAAUGACUAUUUCCUUUCUGGUUCCAUAUCUGGACUGGAAGAAUAAAGUGUCUUAGUGCUACAUCCAUUCUCUUGAACCAUGUUUUACCAGUAUGCUUGUGAGAGAAUUCAGAAGAAUUUUAUUGCUAAAAUAACUCAAGAGCCCGGCCUCACUA